GACGAACGCUGGCGGCGUGCUUAACACAUGCAAGUCGAACGCUGAAGCUUGGUGCUUGCACUGGGUGGAUGAGUGGCGAACGGGUGAGUAAUACGUGAGUAACCUGCCCUUGACUCUGGGAUAAGCCUGGGAAACUGGGUCUAAUACUGGAUACGACAUGUCACCGCAUGGUGGUGUGUGGAAAGGGUUUUACUGGUUUUGGAUGGGCUCACGGCCUAUCAGCUUGUUGGUGGGGUAAUGGCUCACCAAGGCGACGACGGGUAGCCGGCCUGAGAGGGUGACAGGCCACACUGGGACUGAGACACGGCCCAGACUCCUACGGGAGGCAGCAGUGGGGAAUAUUGCACAAUGGGCGGAAGCCUGAUGCAGCGACGCCGCGUGAGGGAUGACGGCCUUCGGGUUGUAAACCUCUUUCAGCACGGAAGAAGCGAAAGUGACGGUACGUGCAGAAGAAGCGCCGGCUAACUACGUG
rnacentral:rRNA from 1 species